rnacentral:tRNA from 1 species
AUAGCUCAGUGGUAGAGCAAUUGACUGCAGAUCAAUAUGCAUGUCACCGGUUCGCACCCGGUU